rnacentral:rRNA from 1 species
CUGCUUCUUUGAGGCGGUGUUUAUCACAAGAACAGGUUUGCCGAAGAGCCGGUUAUCCAGGCUCGAGGCCAAAUGGUUCCCAGGGGAUAAACACAGGGCUUCGAGGCAGGAGUGAAGUCGAUCCAGGGGUAGGGGAGCGUUGUAUGCGGAUUGAAGGUUGACCGAGAGGACAGCUGGACUUCAUACAAGUGAGAAUGCCGGUAUGAGUAACGAAAAGAUCAGUGAGAAUCUGAUCCGCCGAAAGCCCAAGGUUUCCUGAGGAAGGCUCGUCCGCUCAGGGUCAGUCGGGACCUAAGGCGAGGCCGAAAGGCGUAGUCGAAGGACAACAGGUUGAUAUUCCUGUACCACCAUAAUCCGUUAUGAGCAAUGGGGGGACGCAGGAGGGUAGUGACGCGGACUGAUGGAUGUCCGUCUAAGCAGCGAGGCUGGUGUAUAGGCAAAUCCGUACACCAUAAGGCUGGGCUGUGAUGGGGAGCGAAACUUACAGUAGCGAAGGUCAUGAUCUCACACUGCCAAGAAAAGCCUCUAGCCAGGAGAAGGUGCCCGUACCGCAAACCGACACAGGUAGGCGAGAAGAGAAUUCUAAGGCGCGCGGAAGAACUCUCGUUAAGGAACUCGGCAAAAUGACCCCGUAACUUCGGGAGAAGGGGUGCCUCGGUAGGGUGAAUAGCCCGAGGGGGCCGCAGUGAAAAGGCCCAAGCGACUGUUUAGCAAAAACACAGGUCUGUGCGAAGCCGCAAGGCGAAGUAUACGGGCUGACGCCUGCCCGGUGCUGGA